rnacentral:lncRNA from 1 species
GCUGACUGGUUGGCACAAUGGCCUACCCUGGUGACGCGAAUGCUAACCUUUACUUUGACCUCUUUCAUCUGCUGAGAAGUGAACAGCCCAAUGAAAACAUCCUGUUCUCACCUUUGAACAUCUCAACAGCCUUGCACCUAUUGUACAGUUGUAGAGGGGACUGGGCUGAACAGGCUGAAAUGCCAACUGAUUUCAAUCAAGACAACCAGGACCUGCAUUCAAGAUCUGAGCCGGAUUUAGAAGAGUCACCAAAUUACUAUGCCUUGGAAGCCAGUCAGAGAUGGGAUUCCAUGCAUAAGCAAAGAGCUCAGGAGGCUCUGCCUAAGUCUUUGGAAGAAGACUGUGAGGUUCGUGAAACAAAGGAAAAGCCUUCCAUUGCAUCUCCCCUUCCAGCUUUUGAGAGGGAUGCUAGACAAGAUGGCAGCAAUUUGACCCAUGCUCUCCCAUCUAGUGUUGGCCAUUCUGUUAGUAGUGAAAGUGUGUCAUCUCAAUAUCUUCUUUGGCGCAAAUUAAUCCCUAACCAUAGAGCUGUUGAAGAUUUUAGUCGAGAAGAGGUCCCUCCUGAAAUGGAAGCUUCUAAGGAAUUAGCCAGUGGUUUAGAAAACCCGAAAGAAUCAGUCACACAAAGUAACAUGGCUGUUGGAGGUGUAAGAUUACCUUCUUUUUACAAUGUUCAAGGACCUGCAAGAAGUAGACCCAGUGCUUUAUUCCAACCAUCCAGAUUUACUGCAUAUGAAGGGAUAUAUAACAAUACUUUAACAAAACUAGGGACCUCUUCUCAGAUGUUCCUUCCAAAUUCACAACCAUCCAGAUAUACUGCAUAUGAAGGGAUAUAUAACAAUACUUUAGCAAAACUAGGGACUUCUUCUCAGAUGUUCCUUCCAACUUCACAGCCAUCCAAAUAUACUACAUAUGAAGGGAUAUAUAACAAUCCUUUAACAAAACUAGGGACCUCUUCUCAGAUGUUCCUUCCAAGUUCACAACCAUCCAAAUAUACUGCAUAUGAAGGGAUAUACAACAAUGCUUUAACAAAAUUAGGGACCUCUUCUCAGAUGUUCCUUCCAACUUCACAACCAUCCAAAUAUACUGCAUAUGAAGGGAUAUACAACAAUGCUUUAACAAAAUUAGGGACCUCUUCUCAGAUGUUCCUUCCAACUUCACAACCAUCCAAAUAUACUGCAUAUGAAAGAAUAUGUAACAAUACUUUAUCAAAACUAGGGACUUCUCAAGCAUUUCUUCCAGCUCCAGAGUUAGAUAAUAGACAGCUAAUAACAGGAAGGCAUUAUUUCAAGACUACAUCAGGUACUCCUUUGAUGUUCUAUACUAAAGAUGAAAGUUUACUAAGAACAGACAAUGAGAAUGAUCUCCCAAGCCAAGAACAAUCUUCUUUGGAAGAAACAUUAGAGCCACAACAGGGAAGCCCACUUGGAAACCUGGAGAAAUUAUCUAUAAUAGAAAAUAUUGUUCCUUCAGAGAAAUUCUUAAUUUCACCUGUUUCUUCUAUGGAAACGGGUGCAGGACAUAUGCAAAAAAGUGAAGUUCAGGAGAAUAGUCAUCAUGUUGACUAUAUGGAAAAUGAGGAUUCUGAGACAGAAUUCAGUCCUCCAUUUGCAACUGAUUAUCAUGAACCGGAGUGGUGCAACACUUCAGUUCAGAUUCCAGAAGAUACCAUCAACCAAAAAACAAGUGAGGACCUUUCAGGAGAAGAAGGAACCUCCAAUCAGAUUGCCUCAUCCAAUGCUUGGUCAACUGAUAGGCUGAUAUCCAGCACUGGGGACCAAAGAGUGGCCUACAGCUCAAGCCCACCUAUCUCUAUGUCACAGUACUUUUCCUAUGACCUUCCCUGGUAUAAAUACCUCAGAGGAAGAGAAAAGAGGGAGACUGUAGUAGAAUUCUUCCAUUUUAUGAAGCAACAUGAAUUUGAAAAUAUAAUGGCACCUCUUGAGAGCAGGAGGUAUAAAAGAUGGGCCUAG